UUCACUGUUGUCUUGGAUUUUACAUUGUGCUAACAGUUCACAUUCAUCAACUUUAGAGAUUGUACAGUCGAAUGUACUUGAGCCAUUGGUGUGUAGGAGUAAUACCCUGCAUUGAAGCUCACCUGUUCCGAUGUCAAUGACCAGGCUGUUGUGUACCACCAGAACCUUACUGCCAUGUGGACAUA